AGGGCUCUAAACGACAGCAUGAAGAAAAGGAAAGAAAAAACAACAAAUCCAAAUGCUUCUAGUGUCACUAGAGUCAUUCAGCAAGGGAACUAAGAUCGAAGGACCCUGGGCCUGGUCUGAUGCCACACUGCUAAUAAGAAGAGGAAGAAUCCCAGAGGAGGCCUACAGUUCUCCUAGCUCUGUUCUCCUGUGCUGAUCUGCCACAGGGUGGUGGAACCAUAAGGUAAUAUUAAAUUAUAUUCCAUACAA